GUGCUCGCUUCAGCAGUGCAUAUACUAAAAUUGGAAUGAUACAGAGAAGAUUAGCAUGGCCCCCGCACAAGGAUGACAUGCAUAUUCGUGAAGCGUUCCAUAUUUUU
ensembl:snRNA U6 U6 spliceosomal RNA